AGAAGGAUGUAAACUUUCACAAAACUGCUACAAGUUUGGACGAACUUCAGCAUUGUUUUUAGCUACAUGAGAGAAGCGAAUUAUUUUCACUUGGCCUGCACUCAUACUAAUGUCCCGCCACAGAUAUUCAGGUGAAAGCAGUUUGCUGGGUUUGUUAUAAAGGAAAUACUUGUUUAAGUGAGAUUCCUCGUGCCAUAUAGCCUCAAUGGAGUUUGCAGCAUCAAUGUUCAUCUGCUCCCGGCAGGUUUUGGUGAGAUGAUGUACAUCUUCCAAUGAGCCACCAAAUGCAGCUCCAGUAAAAUAAUAAUCACCUUCCCCAGCUGGAAUAUAUGCUUGAGAUUCUGGUCUACGCUCAUAUGUGAAUUGAUUCCUCAGAGCAUCAAAGAACCAAGGAUGUA